rnacentral:rRNA from 1 species
GAUGAACGCUAGCUACAGGCUUAACACAUGCAAGUCGAGGGGAAACGAUAUUGGAAGCUUGCUUCCGAUAGGCGUCGACCGGCGCACGGGUGAGUAACGCGUAUCCAACCUGCCCAUCACUUGGGGAUAACCUUGCGAAAGUAAGACUAAUACCCAAUGACGUCUCUAGAAGACAUCUGAAAGAGAUUAAAGAUUUAUCGGUGAUGGAUGGGGAUGCGUCUGAUUAGCUUGUUGGCGGGGUAACGGCCCACCAAGGCGACGAUCAGUAGGGGUUCUGAGAGGAAGGUCCCCCACAUUGGAACUGAGACACGGUCCAAACUCCUACGGGAGGCAGCAGUGAGGAAUAUUGGUCAAUGGACGAGAGUCUGAACCAGCCAAGUAGCGUGCAGGAAGACGGCCCUAUGGGUUGUAAACUGCUUUUAUAAGGGAAUAAAGUGAGUCUCGUGAGACUUUUUGCAUGUACCUUAUGAAUAAGGACCGGCUAAUUCCGUGCCAGCAGCCGAC